CAGUAGCCGCGGUAAUACGUAGGGUGCAAGCGUUACUCGGAAUUACUGGGCGUAAAGCGUGCUUAGGUGGUGGUUUAAGUCCGUUGUGAAAGCCCUGGGCUCAACCUGGGAAUUGCAGUGGAUACUGGGUCACUAGAGUGUGGUAGAGGAUAGUGGAAUUUCCGGUGUAGCAGUGAAAUGCGUAGAGAUCGGAAGGAACAUCUGUGGCGAAGGCGACUAUCUGGGCCAACACUGACACUGAGGCACGAAAGCGUGGGGAGCAAACAGGAUUAGAUACCCCCGUAGUCCCUGUCUAUUAUAC
rnacentral:rRNA from 1 species